AUGAGGCUGUGGGGUCUUCUCCUCCGCCUGGUGACAGGUCCCCAAGGUGUCCUGUCCCAGGUGCAGCUGCAGGAAUUAGGACCCAGACUGGUGAAGCCCUCCCAGACCCUCUCCCUCACUUGUGCUGUCUCUGGAUUCUGCAUCACAACCAGUGCAUAUGAUUGCAGCUGGAUCCGCCAGGUCCUAGGAAAGGAGCUAGAGUGGAUAGGAUGCAUACAUUUUGCUACUGGCACAGCAUAUAACCCAUCACUUAUGAGUACCGUCUCCAUCUCCAGGGACAUGUCCAGGAACAAGUUCUCCCUGCAGCUGAGCUCUGUGACCACCGAGGACAUAGCCCUGUAUAACUGUGCAAAACAUACACAGUGCAGCUCACUGCUCCCACCUUCCAGCGAGCAUUCGUGGCCCAGCAACACCAAGGGUCCCACAACCCAGUGCCAACUGCUGCCCCCGCCUCCCUGGGAGUGCAUGUGA